rnacentral:tmRNA from 1 species
GGGGGCGUCCCGGAAUUCGACUUUUCAUCGUAGGGCGGGUCUGCAUGCCGAAGACGACACUUGGCUUCGUAAAAAUGUGUCAAAAAAACAUAAAUGGCGAAGAAUACGCUAUUGCCGCUUAAUUGACGCGGCACGUCCGUUCCCCAACUCCCGAUAGGGGAAGCCGGGCGUCGACAUCGGGAAAAGGGGGCAAGCGCGUUGCGCGCCGGCGUUUGCCCGCCUCCACGGCGCGAUGCUCGGCGGGCGGUUGCCGUUUCCAACCCCGCCGAAAAGACUCAAUAACGGCUAAGCAUGUAGUAUGGCGCGCGCGAAAGUGUCAAGGACGCGGGUUCGACUCCCGCCGCCUCCACCA